GAUGAACGCUAGCGGCAGGCCUAACACAUGCAAGUCGAGGGGUAGUAAGUGCUUGCACUUAUGAGACCGGCGCACGGGUGCGUAACGCGUAUGCAAUCUACCUUAUACUGAGGGAUAGCCCAGAGAAAUUUGGAUUAAUACCUCAUAGUAUUAUUGAAUGGCAUCAUUUGAUAAUUAAAGUUCCAACGGUAUAAGAUGAGCAUGCGUCCCAUUAGUUAGUUGGUAAGGUAACGGCUUACCAAGACUAUGAUGGGUAGGGGUCCUGAGAGGGAGAUCCCCCACACUGGUACUGAGACACGGACCAGACUCCUACGGGAGGCAGCAGUGAGGAAUAUUGGACAAUGGAGGCAACUCUGAUCCAGCCAUGCCGCGUGCAGGAAGACGGUCCUAUGGAUUGUAAACUGCUUUUAUACAGGAAGAAACACUCCCUCGUGAGGGAGCUUGACGGUACUGUAG
rnacentral:rRNA from 1 species